rnacentral:tRNA from 1 species
GGGCCCGUAGCUCAGUGGAUAGAGCAAUGGUCUCCUAAACCAUGUGUCGGACGUUCGAUUCGUCUCGGGCCCGCCA